GUGCUUACACAUGCAAGNNNNAACGAUGAAACCUAGCUUGCUAGGUGGAUUAGUGGCGCGCGGGUGAGUAAUGAAUAGAUAAUCUGCCUUUUAGUGGGGGACAACAGUUGGAAACGACUGCUAAUACCCCAUACUCCUUUUAAACAUAAGUUUAAUCGGGAAAGUUUUUCGCUAAAAGAUGAGUCUAUUUCCCAUCAGCUAGUUGGUAAGGUAAGAGCUUACCAAGGCUAUGACGGGUAGCUGGUCUUAGAGGACGAUCAGCCACACUGGAACUGAGACACGGUCCAGACUCCUACGGGAGGCAGCAGUGGGGAAUAUUGCACAAUGGGGGAAACCCUGAUGCAGCAACGCCGCGUGGAGGAUGACGCAUUUCGGUGUGUAAACUCCUUUUAUCAAGGAAGGAAUUUGACGGUACUUGAUGAAUAAGCACCGGCUAACUCCGUGCCAGCAGCCGCGGUAAUACGGAGGGUGCAAGCGUUACUCGGAAUUACUGGGGCGUAAAGGACGCGUAAGGCGGUUUANAAAGUCANAUGUGAAAAUCCUAUGGCUUAACCAUANAACUGCAUCUGAACUCCUANACUANAGUGAGGGANAGGUCANNGGAAUUAAGGGNGUAGGGGUAAAAUCCGUAAAAUCCCUAGGAANACUCUUG
rnacentral:rRNA from 1 species